rnacentral:sRNA from 1 species
UUCUCUGGAAAAAUUUGAGCACUUCUGGGGGUCAGGGGUUAAACAAGGUUGUUCUUAUUGGUAACAGUUUCUCACAGAUUGUUGAAAGAACACCAAAGAGUCUGCUUAGAGAAACAGGAAACUAUAUAUUAAAAAUUCAGCCAUUUGUCAAAGAAACUAGCUUGCCAGACAGUUUUAUACUGAGCGAUGUAUUUAAUGAUCUAGCAGUUCAUUCAUUUCCAUUAGCUGCCAUUCAAACUAUUAGGAGUGACAUUGGUUCUCCCUUGCAUAAACCAGAGUACCAUCGUAAUGAGGAAGAAUUUAUACGAAAUAAAAAUGUCACUAAUUAAAGCUCUA